UUUGGGUUCAGAAGGGUCACUAUAUGAUUC
rnacentral:piRNA from 1 species